rnacentral:rRNA from 1 species
CAGUCGCCACGGUAAUACGUAGGUGGCAAGCGUUGUCCGGAAUUAUUGGGCGUAAAGGGCUCGCAGGCGGUUUCUUAAGUCUGAUGUGAAAGCCCCCGGCUCAACCGGGGAGGGCCAUUGGAAACUGGGAAACUUGAGUGCAGAAGAGGAGAGUGGAAUUCCACGUGUAGCGGUGAAAUGCGUAGAGAUGUGGAGGAACACCAGUGGCGAAGGCGACUCUCUGGUCUGUAACUGACGCUGAGGAGCGAAAGCGUGGGGAGCGAACAGGAUUAGAUACCCCCGUAGUCCCUGUCUCUUAUAC